GACUUGAGCAUCUACAGAUUUUGGUACUCGUGGAAGGUUCUGGAACCACCCCCCCACAGAUGUUAGAGGAACCACUGUACCACAGACUGGGAAGCUUAAACUACAGAAAUUUGUUUUGUCACAGAUCUGGAGGCUAGAAGUCAACGAUCAAGGUGCUCGCAAGGUUUUGGAGUUAAGAUUUGGGUGCUAAUCUCAUAAAAAGAACUAGAGACUAUUCACUGUUUUCAACUUCCUGAAAGAAUUGAUGUCUGAUUUAUGUUAUUUCUUAUUUGCAUUUAUUCUUUUUAUGUUUGCAAAGAUGCAUCAAUGAUUCUAUCUGAGUCUAGGAUUUUCAUAAUUGUGAGAAGGUUUUUAAAUAAUGUGUUCAAUUGUUAGACUAUUAAAGAAUGACAUUUAAUCCCUAAAUAUUUGAGUGUGUGCUUUUUACCAAGUGUUGUAUUGAAUGAAUGUUAUGUAUCAUUGUGAUAGAGGUCGAUGAGGGUAUUAGUCCGUUCUCACACUGCUAUGAAGAAUACCUGAGACUGGGUGAUUAUACACAAAAGUUUAAUUGACUCACAGUUCUUUAUGGCUGGAGAGGCCACAGAAAACUUACAAUCAUUGUUUAAGGUGAAUGGAGAAGCAAGGCACAUCUUAACAUGGCAGCAGGAAAGAGAGAAGAGCACAGGGGAAACCAUCCCCAUGAUCCAAUCACCUCCCACCAGUUUCCUCCCUCAACACAUGGGGAUUACAAUUUGGAUUACAAUUGUUGAUGAGAUUUGGGUGGGGACACAGCCAAACUAUACCAAUGAUACAUGGUGAUCCUAUGUUGAAGAUACAGAGGUGAGAGGUAAGCACGUACCUGCACUUGUGAAAUGUAUAUUCUGGGGAGAGGAGGGCAGACUUGUCAACAAAACAGUAAUAAAUACAAAAUUUCAAUUUUGGUGAAUUCCAAGCAAAAGUUCAUGGUGUCAUGAAAGUUAAAAAUUGAAUGAUUUUAUCUCAUUUAGACAUAUCAGGAACAACUUCCAGGAGCAAAUGACAUUUGUAAAUAAUUAAAUGUUCCCCCUUAUCUUUACUUAACACAUUUUUGUUAUUUCUUUCAUUGUAAAAGAAUAUUUUCUUAAUAUAGCUGUUCUUCUGAAAAGCUACUCUUCUAACUUGGGUUGUACAUUCAAUCACGC
rnacentral:lncRNA from 10 species